GGAUGUGAGGGCAAUCAGGUUGAGACAUCUGUCAACUCACUGAUCACCAGGGUUGAUUCAGUUGAUCUGGCUGGCUAGGGGGUGUUCCUUUCUCCAGAAGCUGUGUUUCUGGGUCAAAAGAGGAGAGCCUUCCCCACUAGAAAUAGACUGGUCUUGUCAAGGGUAUACGAAUAGCUGUACUCCCCUGCUAGAACCUCCAAACAAGCUCUCAAGAUAUGGGAAUUAAAUCAUUCAACUAUCUUUUUAACUUUAAGUCUGAAAACAUUU
ensembl:misc_RNA 7SK 7SK RNA